AUGGUCGGCGAUUAUGAGGAGUUUCGGUACCGGCUUCAGCUUCUUCUUCUAAUUUUCUGCAUAAAACAAACAAAACUUGUACACUAUCAUGAGUUUAGUUAUGUAGAUUUUGUUGGAUAUAUCUAUAGAUCCAUGGAAGGUUUGAUGUUGGGAUUUGAAAACGGUUUGGAUAUGGAUAUGGAAAAUAGGCCCGGGCAUAAUGUAAAUUGUUAUGGUUCUGUGAUGAAAACAUGUGAUGCAUGA